GCGAUAAAUUUCAUCAGCAUCGGGCCUUAAGCUGUAAUCGGUAAUCCUAGAUGUGAUCGAUGAGUUCUAAAAUAACUGCAAAAUAUAACAGCAGAAAUCAAAUUCAUUUUUGUUCAUAUUAAAUUUAUAAACUAUUCAUUGUCGCGGCAAAUAUUUUUUAUUGAUUUUAUUUUAUUUUUUCGGUGAUCAAUGUAUUUUGUAUGUGAAAUAAUUCAUUGUUGAAUAAAAAAAAUUCACUUUUGACAUUUAUUUUAGAAGAGAAAAUGUUACUUUUGUGGAGGCUGAAGAUUUGAAGAUUUGAAAAUCAACCUGGUUUUUUUUAUAAAUGAAAUGUGUCAUGAAUCAAUCAAAUAUUGAAUCAAAUAUGAAUGAAAAUGUUGCUUCUCAUCAUGUAUCAUCUGGUCGACAAUUCAGUUCCAGUUGUCAUAGAUAUACAGGAGAUUAUUGUAUAAAAAUAUAAUUCAUUUAAUAAAAAAAUUUUAAAAAUAAUAUUUUUAAAGAGGGAAGAAAAA